rnacentral:tRNA from 1 species
GGGCGAAUGGCGGAACUGGUAGACGCGCUAGGUUCAGGGUCUAGUGCCUAAACAGCGUGGGGGUUCAAAUCCCCCUUCGCCCACCA